UGUUUUCAUAAAAAUUUUUAUAGUAUAUUUUUUAUGUUUUUUUAUAAAACCUGGGCCACCAUAGUCAAUGAAAUCUACAAAUGACAUUUUCUUCUCAGUAAACUUCUCAGGUAUUUUUAAGGAACUGUAAAUUAGAUCAAUUACUUCAUCAGUUUUUUAAUAUAUAUCCACUUUUUUUAGUUUUCUUAAUUAUUUAUUUACAAAGUCAUGAUCAUUAGGCAUGAACGAACGUUCCUCUAACAAAGAAAUACUUUCUUUGUUAGAGGAACGUUCUUGUUUUGACCAGCAAAAAGUUCUCACUAAAAAGUUCUAGGUUUUAAAUCCAUCUGAAAUGUUAUUUUUUAUGUACCAUAUUUUUUGUCCUGCGGUGCAAUGGUGUUUCAACAAUAAAAUGUACUUUAGGAAUAUUGUUUACAGCAGAAAAAGAACAAGUACCGGACGUGUUUCCUAUCUGCAAUAAAAGAAAAAUUGAUGUUGAUACCAUACCAAUAAAAAUGUAGAUCUCUUUCUAAUUAAAUAUCGUGUCUACCCAUUUAAAACUGAUUUGUGCUAAAAAGUUAGUUAUUUAAAUUUUGAGGACUAGUUAUCUUUCUGUAGUUAGCAGUUCAUUUGUUAUAUAUAUAAAUUUUAUAUAUGUUGUUAUUCUUAUUUGCAGAUUAUUGGUAGACAUGAUCUGAAAUGAGAAAAAAAAUCAUCAGAUUUAAUGACUUGGAACCUAUUAAUUUUUAUCAAAAAAUUCCGGAAUCCUUUUUGGGGAUUUGGGGAUUUGCAUCACUGCAUUACAAUAUUCAGCCAAGAAAACUGACACAAAAACUGUUUCAAAAAAAAACUGCAAUGGACAAAAAAGUAUGCUGUAGCAACGAGAGUACAUGUCAAGUGUUGCCAAAUAGACAAAAAACGCUCAAUGCAUAAAAAGAAAAGUAUUAAACCACUGUUAAAUCACUCACCUCUGUGAUGAUCUGGUCAGUGAUAUGUGGAAGGGAAAUAAGGAGACUCUACAUUGUUGAGAGAAUAAUGAACCAGCUAGAAAGGUCCUGGAACAAAGAUUGUUGCGAUAGUUAACAUAAUGACUUAAUUCAGAUAAAAAAAAAACCCUUUAUGGAGGACGGUACGCCACGUUAUGUGACUGAAUCGAUUAAAAAGUAUCUAUCAGAACAGAAUAUUCCAUUACUUGAUUGGCAAGUAAAAUCUCCCGACCUAAAUCCAUAAGAAAAAAACAAAUAAAUAAAAAAUUUGAAUCCGAUAUACUAUUAUAUGUUACAUAAUAUAUGUAUUAAGUAUUCAUUUGGCAUAAAAAUGCUAAAAAUAUAAAAAUAUAUCUUUGA